rnacentral:rRNA from 1 species
CUAGUAAUCGCAGAUCAGAAUGCUGCGGUGAAUGCGUUCCCGGGUCUUGUACACACCGCCCGUCACACCACGGAAGUUGGGGGCGCCCGAAGCCACUUAGCUAACCCUUUUGGGAAGCGAGUGUCGAAGGUGAAAUCAAUAACUGGGGUGAAGUCGUAACAAGGUACC